GACGAACGCUGGCGGCGUGCUUAACACAUGCAAGUCGAACGGAGAGGCCCUGCUCUUGUGGGGUGCUCGAGUGGCGCACGGGUGAGUAUCACGUGUGUAACCUGCCCUUGUCUUUGGGAUACCUUCAGGAAACUGGGGCUAAUACAGGAUAGGAGCUCCUGCUGCAUGGUGGGGGUUGGUGAGAUUCGGCGUUUGGGGAUGGAGUCGAGGCUUAUCAGCUUGUUGGUGGGGUAGUGGCUUACAAAGGCUUUGACGGGUAGCCGGCCUGAGAGGGUGACCGGCCACAUUGGGACACGGGUGCGACCAGGAGGGCAACGGGGGGCAUCAGUGAGAAAUUGUGCGCGAUGGGCGGAAGCCGGAUGCAGCAACGCCGCGUGCGGAAUGACGGUCGGCGGGUUAUAAAGCUCGUGCGCCUGUGACGAAGCGCGAGUGACGGUAAUGAGUAAAGAAGCAACGGCUAACUACGUG
rnacentral:rRNA from 1 species